CCCCUCCCUAUCCCUGCUCCCUCCUGCCAGCAUCAGAUCCACCCCCUUCUUCCAGGUGCCCCGCUAAGCGCGACUAUUUUUGGUGACUGCUGUUCGUAAGGGACCUUACAAGCUCACAGAAAUCCUGAGUAGGACUGAACAUGCAUCUCCACCUAUACAAGGUGUUCCAAGAUCUUCAGACAAGCACUGGUGAUAAAAUAAGGACCUCAUCUUGUCCAUCGGUAUAACAAGGAUAAUGAUGGCACCUCUCAUACAUGGCAGCUGUAGAGCUGAAAUGAGAUAAUCUCUCGGAAGUCCUGCAUAUCUGGCACGUGGUAAAUGCUC